rnacentral:rRNA from 1 species
GUGCCAGCAGCCGCGGUAAUACGGAGGGUGCAAGCGUUAAUCGGAAUUACUGGGCGUAAAGCGCGCGUAGGCGGUUUGUUAAGUCAGAUGUGAAAUCCCCGGGCUCAACCUGGGAAUGGCAUUUGAGACUGGCAGGCUAGAGUAUGGUAGAGGUGAGUGGAAUUUCAGGUGUAGCGGUGAAAUGCGUAGAGAUCUGAAGGAACAUCAGUGGCGAAGGCGACUCACUGGGCCAUUACUGACGCUGAGGUGCGAAAGCGUGGGUAGCAAACAGGAUUAGAUACCCUGGUAGUCCACGCCCUAAACGAUGUCAACUAGGUGUAUGGAGAAUUUAUUCUUUGUGUAUCGAAGCUAACGCGAUAAGUUGACCGCCUGGGGAGUACGGUCGCAAGACUAAAACUCAAAUGAAUUGACGG